GCUUCCAACAGGCAAAACAAUCAAUAUUUCGGUUCCUCUUUCAAUCCUCUACUUGUUCCACCAUGACAUGUUUUUCGGUUUGGAGUUGGAAAAUCACCGGCUGGGAUUAGGAUACGAAUUGCCGUGAAAUUUUGUAGAGCAAAACAAAAACAACAACGAGUACCGUGUUAUGAUUAUUCGAUUCGUGGACAUCAGGUCACACACACAGUCACUGUUUAUGAGCAGUCUCACUAACAUUUGUGCUUCAAACUUCCACCUUCAAUUGACAGAGGCGCUGUUAUCAGUGACGUUUGACAUUUGUAUGGGAAAAAGGACCAGUUGCCAGUCUUCUUGGUUUGUAGUCUUCGCUAUUUUUCAAAGGAUGGAGCCAAAAUUCAAUUUGGCUGAACAGGAAACCCAAAUUUCUAUGAAAAUACGUACAUGCUUAAAAAAUGCAUCAUCACGUAUGGAUUCAGCAAGGUUUAUUCUAUAAAAUCCAAGUCUAGUGGAAUCAAAAUUCAACUUGGCAGAACAGAAAAUCAAAGUUUCUGUGAAAAUACGUACUUAUGUGAAUUCAAACUCGGUUUUCUCAAAAAUUGAGAAGUUCAACCCUCAUGUAUGGAUUCAGCAAGUUCCAUUCUAUGUAAUACAAGCCCAAUUUUAAAACUUAGGAGCCAACAUUCAGUUCGGCAAAACAGAAGAAUCAAAUUUCUAAAUUACUUUUGUGAAUAUUAACUAGGUUCAUCCUUCACGUAUGGAUUCAGCAAGUUCCAUUCUUUAAAAUCCAAGCACAAAUUCCAAACGAUACAACCGAAAUCCAACCUGGCUUCAAAAAAAAUCUACCAUCACGUAUGAACUCACAAAGGUCUAUUAUAUACAAUCCAAGCCUGUUUUUCAAAGGACGGGGCCAAAAUCCAACUUGGCUGGUCAAGAAACCUAAAUUUCUGUGCAUCUCACAAGAACGAGGAAGGGGUCUAGAGGAGCAGAAUCUACGUUAAAAAUUAGUUAAAUCACUUCAGGAAAGCUGAGACUAACAUUAAUUAUAAUUCAAUCACUCAACAGAAAAGUUUGAACUCCCCACCCCUGAAUCACUUCAGAAAAGGUUGGACUCAGUUUGGAAAAUUUAAGCUAAAAAAAGUGUCGGUUCACUUCGGAAAACUUUCUACGUUUUUUGAAAAGCUAGAUGACCUAAACAAGAUUGUGUCCUUGCCAAAUGCCAAGCAGUUAACAAAAAUCUGGGGCUCACUUAGGAAAAUGUCAAACCCGUUCUGACAAGUUUGGAUUCAGUUCGAAAAAGUUGAAUCAAUGCAGGAAACCUUGGAUUAAUUUAGGAAAGGGAUUAAAUCAGCUAAUGUGGCCUCACCCCAGAAAAUGCGAAACCAAUUCUUUAAAGCUCGGGUUCGGGAUAUGUUGGAUCACUUCAGGAAAGCUUUGACAACUUUAAAAGGAUUGAAUAACAUAAAAGAAAAGAUUAGGCUCAGUUAGAAAAAUGUUGUUGACUUAUUCGAAAGUUUAAACUCACUUCAAAAAAGUUCAGACUCAGUUUUGAAUCUGCUUUGAAAAGUUUUACCUCAAUUAGGAAUUUCUUCAAGCCUCACUUCUACAAAAUUUAAACGAAUUUUGAAAAAAAAAAUGGAUUUAGCUUGGAAAUUGUUGGAUCACUGUAGAAAAUUAAGUGGCAUUGCAGCAGGUUUGUAAGUUACGACAUUUAUAUCGAAUGUGAAAAUCGGGUGACUACGAUGGGAUGGGCACAUUGUAACAAUGUCGAAUAACGACCCAAUGAAAAUGGUCCUUGGUAGCGACCCGAAAAGACGAAAAUGUGCGCAGCGAACAAGGGGGAUCGAUCAGAUUGAAGGCGGUUUACCUAGUGAAUUGCCAUACAAGAUUAGAAAUGACGUUCGUUUUCAACAACUGUAACCGGCUGAUCCGAUUUCAAGGACCUGGCAUGCCGUUCUGGUCUAGUACCAAUGCAUGUAAAAAUUCUGUAAAAUAACAAGGUGAUAUUCUACAACAUAAUAAAAUCUAAACUUGAGAUUUGUUCCGGUCUUAUCAGUGCUAAAAUAGUCUGAACAAUGCUGACAGAAACCAACCGACGUCCCACACACACAAAGAUAGUUUACAGAACGAUACGUGCCAACAUUGAAAAUGUGCAAAUGAAAGAGAAUCAACGAAGCGUUUUAGUCCACGGGCUGUUAUCGUUUAAGUUUUAGUCAAUUAUUAUUAUAGUUUGGUUUCAAUUUGGUUUUACGAGAAAACAGUAUAACGCAGGCAGAUAGACUUUAUCGGAUCGGAUCCUUUGAAGCUUGGUGCGGGUGUUGGCCGCCUCAAUACUGUUGAGGAAAAUAUAUGUA